rnacentral:rRNA from 1 species
AAGCAGGGGAUCGUAAGACCUUGCGCUUUUGGAGCGGCCGAUGCCUGAUUAGCUAGUUGGUGGGGUAAAGGCUUACCAAGGCGACGAUCAGUAGUUGGUCUGAGAGGACGACCAGCCACACUGGGACUGAGACACGGCCCAGACUCCUACGGGAGGCAGCAGUGGGGAAUUUUGGACAAUGGGCGAAAGCCUGAUCCAGCAAUGCCGCGUGAGUGAAGAAGGCCUUCGGGUUGUAAAGCUCUUUCAGUCGAGAAGAAAAGAUUGUGAUGAAUAAUCACAAUUCAUGACGGUAUCGACAGAAGAAGCACCGGCUAACUACGUGCCAGCAGCCGCGGUAAUACGUAGGGUGCAAGCGUUAAUCGGAAUUACUGGGCGUAAAGGGUGCGCAGGCGGCUUUGUAAGUCAGAUGUGAAAUCCCCGGGCUUAACCUGGGAAUUGCGUUUGAAACUACAAAGCUUA